rnacentral:antisense_RNA from 21 species
CGGCGCUUGAGGCUUUUUGCCUCCGGCAAUCAGCAAAGUUACCGCUAUGGCGGAUGGCAGAAAGAAGAAAGCCCCGAAGGUCAAUUUUCAUUAACCAACGAGGCUGUCUCCAUACUGAACAUAUGCAGAUUAGCCUCUUACCCGUCGCAAGACAAGGAAAAGAAGCUGAUG